CUCCCCUUGAGUUUGUCUAUUCUGCAGGUGUUGCUGAGGUGCUGAGUGCCCCAGGAGCAAGUGGAGCCCCCAGGUGUAAGAUCUCUUCUGGUCUGAAUAGAAUAGCACAGGGGUCCUUUUGUGCCAUUUGAAGCCGGGGAGGGAAGUCCGUCUGGGGAAGCAGCAGUGCUUUGCUAACGCCUGACAUUUGAGCAAUGAAUUAGCAGCAAUGCAGGGCAGAGCUGCCAGGGGAUGGGAUCAUGGCAAUGCCACCGCUGCUCGUCCUCAGCCCUUCUGCAAGGAGCGUAAGGGGAAAAAAGUGGGGAGAUGGACUGGGGACAGAACAGAACACACUGGAUUGUGUAUAGCUGAUGGGUAACCACCGUGGCUGUGUAGCUCUGUAGUUGUGCUCUGUGGGGCUGCACUGUAGCCAUGAAUGCAUACAGGAGGAGCUGCUUCUGGGGAUGCUCACAGCUGCCCUGUAUCCAUCAUUAAUGAUGGACCAAAACCCAGGGUUGGUAUCCUGGCUGGACCUGUGGGGCUGGCAAUCCCCCCACCCAGCUGCCAUGCUCUGCCCGGGCAGGGAUGAGCCAGCGUGCUCUGGCUGCUCACAGAGCCUUUGUAGCUGCCUGGUGGGGACGUGUAAACAGAAAGCUCUCCUGUGGCCCAUUCCUAGGGGGGAUUUUUGAGCUCUGUUGAUAAAAAAGCAAUGUCUUUCAUCCACACAGGCAGUGAUUAUACUCCAGCUGCUGAGAAUCCCCUUGCCAAGGGGAACAGGAUCCCUGCCCCACUGCGGCCAGGCAAAAAUCUUUCUUCUAUGUGGCACAUCCUCUGGUUUUCAUCCUGUUUCCAAGGGACAACAAUCUGCAGAGCAUAAGGUCGCUCUCAGCUCCCAUUCAGAGGAGAGGCAUGAAGAGGAAAUGUAUAGUGGUGCUGUGCUUUGUUCUCCUCCAAGCCCAGGCUGAAGUCCAGGCUGCCUUGGCUGCUGCCAUGCAAAGCUUGCAGCUACCACUGCUUCCUGCGCCCAGAGCUCAAUGCAGCAGAGAGCAGUGCUGGGGUCUGGGCUGUGCAGCAUGGCCAGAGUGUGCAUUGAUCCUGCUAACAAAGGGAGCGCAUUUAGAACAAGGCAAAACUAAGCAGCCCUUUGUAAAGCGAAAGCAGCUGGCUCAACUAAUUAAAUGUUAAAAAUACCAGCAAGAUGAGCAUACCAGAAAAUAAACAGGCGUCACAGCCAGGAUGGAAAGUGUUGGAAAUGAUCUAUGCGUUUUGCUGUCCCUCUGUGUGCUUGUUUAUAUGGAUGCUGGCAGUGGUGUGGCCACGCGCCCUUGUGUUUGUGUGCAUGAGUUUCCA